rnacentral:rRNA from 1 species
UGGGGAAUAUUGGACAAUGGGCGCAAGCCUGAUCCAGCGACGCCGCGUGUGGGAUGAAGGUCUUCGGAUUGUAAACCACUGUCGCGAGGGACGAAGCUCUGACGGUACCUCGAAAGGAAGCACCGGCUAACUCUGUGCCAGCAGCCGCGGUAAUACAGAGGGUGCGAGCGUUGUCCGGAAUCACUGGGCGUAAAGGGCGCGUAGGCGGCCCGGUAAGUAGGGGGUGAAAUCUCAUGGCUCAACUGUGAGGCUGCCUUCUAGACUGCCAGGCUUGAGCACAGUAGAGGCGAGUGGAAUUCCCGGUGUAGCGGUGGAAUGCGUAGAGAUCGGGAAGAACAUCGGUGGCGAAGGCGGCUCGCUGGGCUGUUGCUGACGCUGAGGCGCGAAAGCGUGGGGAGCAAACAGGAUUAGAUACCCAAGUAGUCCCUGAGCGGGCUGGCAAGGCGCAU